rnacentral:snoRNA from 1 species
AUCCUUUUGUAGUUCAUAAGCAUGAUGAUUGGGUGUUCACGCGCCUGCGUGACUUGUGCCCUCCUCAGACCUUGUUACUACAUCGGCACAUUACCCAUCUGACG